rnacentral:misc_RNA from 1 species
GCUCCAACCAUCACCUUUCUCCAGUACAUCCUCUCUCUCUUUCUUUUCUACAUAUAUAAUUUAAUCUUCAAGAUUUUAUAUUGUUCAAUUCAAUAAUUAUCCAUUUACACGUUUAUAUAUUCACUUGAAGAAUUUGCUUUGAACUUCGUCUUUGUCUGUUUUGCUGAUUCUUUGGCACUUCUUUCUUCUUUGUUGUAGCUGCUCCUUCUUCUUCUUCCUCUCUUUUGUGCUUUUGGUAUUCUAAUUUUGUAAAAGUGUUCCGUUGUUGCUUUUCUUGGUUAGUUCUUCUAAAAUUUGAUCUUGGUUUUUGUUUAUCUUGAAGAAAAUUCUGAUUUCUGCCAUGUUCUUCAGAAGCAUCAACUAGAACUUUCAGUGCCUCGCUUCCCUUUUAAU